GGACACCUUGUUGUAAACAGAAGAUCUACUGCUGACCACAAGCUAGCAGCCAUGAGCUAUGGCUGAUGUAAGGAAGGACACAGAAGAACAGACCAGCCAGGGUAAACUGGGGAUAUGCAGUGGGCACAGGUGAGAGAGAGGAGUUUGGCGGCACUGGUUUCCCAAGACACAGGACACAAGACCCCUCCAAUAAAACAGGAUGCAGUAGAGAAGCUGAGCAAAACCUACCAAAACCAAGAAGGCAACAGAAGUGGCCUCUGGUUACCCUUGCUGCUCAUUAUAUGCUAAUUAUAACACACUAGCAGGCAAAAAGGCACUCCCACCAGUGCCAUGAGGGUUUACAAAUGCCAUGGCAACCUGGCACCCCAAUCCCCACCCCCAAUAAAUUACCCGGAAAACUCAUGAAUAAUCC
rnacentral:lncRNA from 1 species